GGUGAUUAUUAUUCCACUGACUGGAGUCCUGUGGCAGCAACUGCCCAAAAGCACAAGUCUUCAGACGGUGGAAACACUGGAGCUUUUGCUGGUGCAGUUGUAGCUGCAAUUUUGGUCAUUUUUCUUGUCAUAUUGGUCAUUCUUUUUGUUAGGAUCAAUUCAAACUCUGCUACAGUGCAGUGAACUGCGUAUUGUAGUCAUUCGACGGCUACUAAAAUUUCUCAAAAGUGGAGGAAGUUGAAUUUUUUUCUCGAGAUUAUUAUAGGUUUUCUGAAAUUUAGCGUACUAUAAAAGAAUAUAAUUAAACAUAACAUUUUAUUUCCUUUUUAACUAUAGGAGUGAACGAGAGUGAAUGAUUCUAAACACUAUUUGAAAACAAUAUGGAACAUGGCAUCAAAUUUUUAGACUAAGUAUAUAGUCAAUAUUUGAAAUCGGUAAACGGCUGUAAUACUUUUAUCUAAAUACAUUAAAUAAGAAAUAAAGUUAAAUUAAAA